rnacentral:rRNA from 1 species
UACGAAGGGUGCAAGCGUUACUCGGAAUUACUGGGCGUAAAGCGUGCGUAGGUGGUUGUGUAAGUCUGUUGUGAAAGCCCUGGGCUCAACCUGGGAACUGCAGUGGAAACUGGACGACUAGAGUGUGGUAGAGGGUAGCGGAAUUCCUGGUGUAGCAGUGAAAUGCGUAGAGAUCAGGAGGAACAUCCAUGGCGAAGGCAGCUACCUGGACCAACACUGACACUGAGGCACGAAAGCGUGGGGAGCAAACAGG